rnacentral:rRNA from 1 species
GACAGAGGUGCCGAGCGUUAGGCGGAAUCACUGGGCUUAAAGCGUGUGUAGGUGGAUGCCUAAGUACCUUGUGAAAUCCCACGGCUUAACCGUGGAACUGUUUGGUAUACUGGGUGUCUUGAGCCAGCUAGGGGGCUACCGGAACAAAUGGUGGAGCGGUGAAAUGCGUAGAUAUCAUUUGGAACGCCAAUGGUGAAAACAGGUAGCUGGGGCUGUGCUGACACUGAGACACGAAAGCCAGGGGAGCGAACGGG